GUCUCAGCUUAACUGUCACUGCCCAGGGAGAUCUUCCCUCAGCCGCACAGCAGGCUGGCUCACUCUAUGGUAUACUUGCAUGGUGUUCUAUCUCUCCCCUUUAUAACACUAAUGAUCAUUGUAACUUGACCGUUAAGUGUGUAAUCAUUGAAUGUUUGUUUUUCACUCCCUGCCUCCUAACUCCAGAUUAGAAGGCCCAUGAGAACAGGAUCUGCAUCUGUUCUGUUCACUACUUUAUUGAAAUGGCUUUACCUACAUUACUUCAUCUAGUUUCACAAUCUUGUGAGGCAGACAUUCUCAUCUCCUAGUUGACAGAGGAGAAAACUGAAAACUCAGAUGUGUGGUAGAGUCAAUAUUUGAGCACAGUUCCAUCUAUAUUACUGAAGGGUUAAAAGAGCUAAUUCAUUUUUUGGGGAUUUGGAGUCUCAAGACCAGAACUUAGUAAGCUGCUUGACCAAAGGCUGAAAAAAUUAUGAUUUAAUAUAAGGAACUGAAGACACAGCUUUUGGAAAAGCUGAAAGCCUCUUUGAUGUUGGAAGCACACCCUGUCAUGCAUAGCGUGCUGGGUAAGAAGAUGGCUGAAGACGACUUUACCGACAGGAUAAUCGCUCCAGCAGACAGAUGGAAGGGGGAAGGGGGUCUGGCUUUGUACCUGUAAGUGCAGCUGCACCUUCCUUGAUGAAGCUGUUCUGCACUCUAGAAUCUCUCAUUCGGUUUGCUCAAGUAAUCCAGAUUUGAAUAAACAGUCACUGUGUGGAAGCUAA